rnacentral:snoRNA from 1 species
GAUGCUUCAUAGGUUGUAUUCUUGCACUCACUAAAAGAGGGGUAGAAUAAAUAAUCUAUCCAUAAGAUACCUCAGCCUGGGGCCCUAUUUCUGGUCUGUACUGUGAAUGGGGAAACAAGA